GGGCCCAUAGCUCAGCGGUAGAGCAGCGGACUCAUAAUCCGUCGGUCCCAGGUUCGAAUCCUGGUGGGCCCA
rnacentral:tRNA from 1 species